rnacentral:rRNA from 1 species
AACGCGAAGAACCUUACCUGGGCUCGAACGGCUGGUCAACGGAGGUGGAAACAUCUUUACCCCGCAAGGGGGUCCAGUCGAGGUGCUGCAUGGCUGUCGUCAGCUCGUGUCGUGAGAUGUUGGGUUAAGUCCCGCAACGAGCGCAACCCUUGUCCUGUGUUGCCAUACCGAAAGGUGGAACUCGCAGGAGACCGCCAGCGAUAAGCUGGAGGAAGGUGGGGAUGACGUCAAGUCCUCAUGGCCUUUAUGUCCAGGGCUACACACGUGCUACAAUGGACGGUACAAAGCGUCGCUAACCCGCGAGGGGGAGCCAAUCGCAAAAAACCGUUCUCAGUUCGGAUUGCAGGCUGCAACCCGCCUGCAUGAAGCUGGAAUCGCUAGUAAUGGCAGAUCAGCACGCUGCCGUGAAUACGUUCCCGGGCCUUGUA